CGUGGGCAAUCUGCCCUGCACUCUGGGACAAGCCCUGGAAACGGGGUCUAAUACCGGAUAUGAGUCUCCAUCGCAUGGUGGGGGCUGUAAAGCUCCGGCGGUGCAGGAUGAGCCCGCGGCCUAUCAGCUUGUUGGUGAGGUAACGGCUCACCAAGGCGACGACGGGUAGCCGGCCUGAGAGGGCGACCGGCCACACUGGGACUGAGACACGGCCCAGACUCCUACGGGAGGCAGCAGUGGGGAAUAUUGCACAAUGGGCGAAAGCCUGAUGCAGCGACGCCGCGUGAGGGAUGACGGCCUUCGGGUUGUAAACCUCUUUCAGCAGGGAAGAAGCGCAAGUGACGGUACCUGCAGAAGAAGCGCCGGCUAACUACGUGCCAGCAGCCGCGGUAAUACGUAGGGCGCAAGCGUUGUCCGGAAUUAUUGGGCGUAAAGAGCUCGUAGGCGGCUUGUCGCGUCGGUUGUGAAAGCCCGGGGCUUAACCCCGGGUCUGCAGUCGAUACGGGCA
rnacentral:rRNA from 1 species